rnacentral:tRNA from 1 species
GGUUCCGUAGUUCAGCUGGACAGAACGCAAGUUUCCUAAACUUGAUGCCACAGGUUCGAGUCCUGUCGGGACCA